rnacentral:tRNA from 1 species
CGCGGGGUGGAGCAGCUUGGGAGCUCGUCGGGCUCAUAACCCGAAGGUCGUCGGUUCAAAUCCGGCCCCCGCAACCA